rnacentral:rRNA from 1 species
UACGGAGGGUGCAAGCGUUAAUCGGAAUUACUGGGCGUAAAGCGCACGCAGGUGGCUGAGUCAGUCGAUUGUGAAAGCCCUGGGCUUAACCUGGGAAUUGCAGUCGAUACUACUCAGCUAGAGUAUGGGAGAGGGUAGUGGAAUUCCCGGUGUAGCGGUGAAAUGCGUAGAUAUCGGGAGGAACAUCAGUGGCGAAGGCGGCUACCUGGCCUAAUACUGACACUGAGGCACGAAAGCGUGGGGAGCA